GACGAACGCUGGCGGCGUGCUUAACACAUGCAAGUCGAACGGAAAGGCCCUGCUUUUGUGGGGUGCUCGAUUGGCGAACGGGUGAGUAACACGUGAGUAAACUGCCCCUGACUUUGGGAUAACUUCAGGAAACUGGGGCUAAUACCGGAUAGGAGCUCCUGCUGCAUGGUGUGGGUUGGAAAGAUUCGGCGGUUGGGGCUGGACUCGCGGCUUAUCAGCUUGUUGGUGGGGUAGUGGCUUACCAAGGCUUCGACGGGUAGCCGGCCUGAGAGGGGGACCGGCCACAUUGGGACUGAGGUACGGCCCAGACGCGUACGGGAGGCAGCAGUGGGGAGUAUUGCACAAUGGGCGGAAGCCUGAUGCAGCAGCGCCGCGUGCGGAAUGACGGCCUUCGGGUUGUAAACCGCUUUCGCCUGUAACGAAGCGUGAGUGACGGUAAUGGGUAAGGAAGCACCGGCUAACUACGUG
rnacentral:rRNA from 1 species